rnacentral:rRNA from 1 species
GACGAACGCUGGCGGCGUGCUUAACACAUGCAAGUCGAACGAUGAAGCCCAGCUUGCUGGGUGGAUUAGUGGCGAACGGGUGAGUAACACGUGAGUAACCUGCCCUGGACUCUGGGAUAAGCGCUGGAAACGGCGUCUAAUACCGGAUAGGACCCUUGAUCGCAUGGUCGGGGGUGGAAAGUUUUUUCGGUCUGGGAUGGACUCGCGGCCUAUCAGCUUGUUGGUGAGGUAAUGGCUCACCAAGGCGUCGACGGGUAGCCGGCCUGAGAGGGAGACCGGCCACACUGGGACUGAGACACGGCCCAGACUCCUACGGGAGGCAGCAGUGGGGAAUAUUGCACAAUGGGCGAAAGCCUGAUGCAGCAACGCCGCGUGGGGGAUGACGGCCUUCGGGUUGUAAACCUCUUUUAGUAGGGAAGAAGGGCUUCGGCUUGACGGUACCUGCAGAAAAAGGACCGGCUAACUACGUGCCAGCCGCCGCCGUAACAC